rnacentral:rRNA from 1 species
UAAUACGGAGGAUGCGAGCGUUAUCCGGAUUCAUUGGGUUUAAAGGGUGCGUAGGCGGAACGAUAAGUCAGUGGUGAAAUUCUGCAGCUUAACUGUAGACGUGCCAUUGAUACUGUCAGUCUUGAGUAUGGUCAAGGUAGGCGGAAUGUGUAAUGUAGCGGUGAAAUGCUUAGAUAUUACACAGAACACCGAUUGCGAAGGCAGCUUGCUGGGCCAUUACUGACGCUGAUGCACGAAAGCGUGGGGAUCAAACAGGAUUAGAUACCCUGGUAGUCCACGCUGUAAACGAUGAUCACUCGCUGUUGGCGAUACACAGUCAGCGGCUAAGCAAAAGCAUUAAGUGAUCCACCUGGGGAGUACGGCCGCAAGGCUGAAACUCAAAUGAAUUGACGG